CCCAGACUCCUACGGGAGGCAGCAGUGGGGAAUAUUGCACAAUGGGGGAAACCCUGAUGCAGCGACGCCGCGUGAGUGAAGAAGUAUUUCGGUAUGUAAAGCUCUAUCAGCAGGGAAGAAAAUGACGGUACCUGAUUAAGAAGCCCCGGCUAACUACGUGCCAGCAGCCGCGGUAAUACGUAGGGGGCAAGCGUUAUCCGGAUUUACUGGGUGUAAAGGGAGCGUAGACGGCAGCGCAAGUCUGAAGUGAAAUGCCGGGGCUUAACCCCGGAACUGCUUUGGAAACUGUGCAGCUAGAGUGCAGGAGAGGUAAGUGGAAUUCCUAGUGUAGCGGUGAAAUGCGUAGAUAUUAGGAGGAACACCAGUGGCGAAGGCGGCUUACUGGACUGUAACUGACACUGAUGCUCGAAAGUGUGGGUAUCAAACAGGAUUAGAUACCCUAGUACG
rnacentral:rRNA from 1 species